rnacentral:rRNA from 1 species
UACGUAGGGUGCAGGCGUUAAUCGGAAUUACUGGGCGUAAAGCGUGCGCAGGCGGUUUGCUAAGACAGGUGUGAAAUCCCCGGGCUUAACCUGGGAACUGCGCUUGUAACUGGCAAGCUAGAGUGUGGCAGAGGGGGGGUGGAAUUCCACGUGUAGCAGUGAAAUGCGUAGAGAUGUGGAGGAACACCGAUGGCGAAGGCAGCCCCCUGGGCUAACACUGACGCUCAUGCACGAAAGCGUGGG